AGAAGCUGAAGGCCCUGGAUGAAGUUGGGCUUUUGUGGUUGACACACUUGUCCAACAUCGCGUGGGAAUCUGGGACAGUGCCUGGCAGGAUUGAUAGACUGGUGU